rnacentral:rRNA from 1 species
UACGUAGGGGGCAAGCGUUGUCCGGAUUUAUUGGGCGUAAAGAGCGUGUAGGCGGCUUGGUAGGUCCGCUGUGAAAACUCGAGGCUCAACCUCGAGAUGUCGGCGGAAACCACUUGGCUAGAGUCCGGAAGAGGAGAGUGGAAUUCCCGGUGUAGCGGUGAAAUGCGCAGAUAUCGGGAAGAACACCUAUGGCGAAGGCAGCUCUCGUGGGCCGAUACUGACGCUGAGGAGCGAAAGCAUGGGGUAGCGAACAGG